AUCCAGCUGACGAGUCCCAAAUAGGACGAAAUGUACGUUCUGGAU
rnacentral:hammerhead_ribozyme from 1 species